GCCCAGCUGGCUCAGUCGGUGGAGCAUGUGACUCUUGAUCUCACGGAUGUGAGUUUGAACCCCAUGUUGGGUA
rnacentral:tRNA from 1 species